rnacentral:lncRNA from 1 species
UUGUGUUCUAUUUAUUCCCCACCAAUUCCUAUAUUUGAUUAUUUACUGUAUAAGUUUGUGUGUUUGUGGUGGAGGUAAAUCCUAGGAAAUUUAGAUGAGAAGAAAGCUUUAGCGAGGCGCUUGCCAAGUGCUUGGUGAAUCGUCUCAACCGGAUGUGGUUGUCGAUCUCGCAGAGUCGAGUCGAGUUUAGUCGUGGUAAGUCGAUCCAUUGUUUCCGAUAGUCGGAUGAAUGAUUAGUUUGUGUGGAUGUAUAAGGCUUGUGCUAUUAAAUUGAUUUAUGUUAUGUGAAUGAAAUUAUUUUCAUGAGUAUGUAUUAGUAUCAACAUAUAUUGGAGAUAGUUCUAUGUUUUAGUGGUCAUGUUACUUGAUAUUUAUUAACCAAUUCCGGUUGAAUGGAUGUAUAUGCAUAGUGUCAUUUGAGUAGUUCAUUUGCAAUAUGAACUUUAGUUUGAAGAUACAAACUCAUACGAAGUGAUUGUGUGCAUGGUUAUAAAGUAUACCAAUCUAUCUAAGUGAUUAAGUAGGUGGUUUUAGUUCUACUUUAAGGUAAGGUGUUAGAAUAUUUGAAGUACCAAGCACAUGAGAAUUGUAUGAGUUAACUAGGAGCUAACUUAAAAUUAUUACUGUUUGGACCACAUGUCUAGUUUUAGUUAUGCAGAUAUUUUAGGGAAGUAAAUCAUGAUUUCUAUAAAAGUGUUAUAUAGAAAAGUUAUAGCUAACUCCUUUAUCUUGCUUGUGCUAAAAUUUCAUGACCAUAAGUUUAGUAGUUUAGGAGUUAUGAUUUUUCAAAGUACAGUAUCAGAAUCUGCCCAGAUUCAGUACUGAUUUCGAAAAUGACCUUGUUUGCCUAAAUUAAACUAAGAAUCAGCCCUUAGUAAUUAUAGAAGAAUUGUAAUACUUUUCUUAAGCUUUCAAACAAAAUUUGGAUCACCCAUUUUGGUGAUCUAUAAGUUAAGUUACAGCUGUUUGAAGUGCGAUCUCUGAAUCUGUCCAAAUUUGGACAGCAGAGCCUUUCUCAUGUUUUCUGACCUUGAUAUAUAUUGAAUUAACCUGGGAUGUUUAAAUAUGAAUUGUAGAUAAUUCAAUUAGCCUUCUAAAAAGUCUAGGAUCACCUAUUUUGGAUGCCUAAAACUCCAGAUAUAGAUUUUUGAAGUGAGUAGUCGAUUUCUGUCCAAAUCUGGACAGAAUUUAUGUUUAGUUCUGUUUGAGCUUUCUAAAGGUCAAAUCUUGUUGUGAUGAUAAUACCAAAAUUAUAGAGGACUUUAUAAGCUUUCCAAAAAGUCUUAGUUUACUAUUUUUUGGAUGAAUAUUGUGUAAGUUAUGAAUAAAACAACUAGUUGUUGUUCUGCUGUCCAAAUUCAGCAAAUAUGAAAUGAUUACUUGGAGUUUCUUUUGUGAGGAUACCUAUAUUUGGUUAGUUCUUGUCUUGAUUAAUGAAGUCUUGUAGUGGCAAAUGGUCUUUUGUGAGGAUACCUAUAUUUGGUUAGUUCUUGUCUUGAUUAAUGAAGUCUUGUAGUGGCAAAUGUUUGUUUCUUUUAUUUCUUAAUGCUUGCUUUAGACUUAGCAUUUUGGAGAAGGAAGUAAAUGCCUUGGUGAAUGUAUUUGAGUAGUGACUAUUUAGGCCUUGUAUGUGCAUAAUGAAAUAGUAAAGCAAGUAGUAAAAUUUAGCACUUCUCUCGUCUAUCCGUGAUGUUACCCUUUAUUGCUUAUAGUCUUACAAAUGUCUAUGAUCUUGAUAAUGUUUACUUGCUUGAUCGAAUGGUGUAAUAAUUUGUUUGGUCGAUGUGUUAUGCCUAAUAGGCUAGAUUAGUAGUUCUAAGAACUAGUUGAAAUACUUCUAUUCAUAAACCUAAAUUAAGUAUCCGAAAUUGAUAAGUCUACGAGUAGUAACCUAUCGAUGUUAUGCUUUAGCUUAAGGCUUGUGUUUAGUUAUGUUGCCUAAUGUUUGAAUUAGGUCCGAUUAACUCGAGGAUCAUAAUUGUGUAGAUUUUCUCUCAUGUUUGAUUAUGUAUGUUGGUGAGAUCUUGCCUGUAAUAUUGAGUUUUCUUCCUUGUGACAUUGUUUAGCCUUAUUAUUCCUUCCUAUGUUCAUACAUGUGCAUUAUGCAUAUCAUUUAGGUACGCUAAUUGAUCACGUGAUGUGGAGGACAAGAGCUGGAUUUGUCUCAUGGUGAUGCUGAUGAAUAAACCUGAAGAUUGAUGAUCUGAUCGAGUGCCAGAAUAGGAGAUGCUCGCCAAGCAAGCAUCAUCUAACAACACUAACCUAGUGUUAUCCUAGGCAAGCCCCGGUCAUUUGCCC